rnacentral:rRNA from 1 species
UGGUUGGCUGGAAUAAGUGGUAGAUUUACUUAUAUUUGGCUAUGGCAGCCCUCUGAAGGUGCUUCUGGAGGGCUGCUUAUGGGGGUUCGGGAAGAUCUAUUUGAGGUUGACGUCUGUAUUGCAGAUACAUACAUGACCAGAAUGGUUAUUAUGGAUAAAAGAUCAGGAUUCAAGUGGAAUCUGAUCAAUGUCUAUGGAGCUGCUCAUGUGAGGAAUAAGGAGGAGUUCCUGAUGGAGCUAGUGCAAGCUCUGGGGUACAAUAAAUUGCCCUGUGUUUUUGGGGGCGAUUUUAACUUAAUUAGGAGAAUUAACGAGAGAAACAAAAUUAAAAAACUUCCAAAAUGGUCUUUUUAUUUUAAUUCUAUUAUUGAGCAUUGGGGCUUAAAAGAA